UGCCUGGGCCUUGCUUAUUCAGGUUCAUACUGCAGCGAUCGUAGACGACGGCGAAUUCGAGAGGAGAGGAAGCAGUCGCGGUUGAUCGAACCCCAUCGGUCUCGGUUCCCUCGCUACAUCAAGAAGCGAUCUCUCAAGAGCAAAGCCCUAAGCGUCAUCUUCAGCGAGAAAUAUCUCAAGGAUUUUGUUUGAGGAAGAAUCAGAGCAGGAAGGAAGCGGAGAGGCAGAAUGAAGAAGAGGUUGAAGCGCAUCAAAGGUUCUUGUGUUUUAUCAGUUGCAUCAAAGAAGACUACUUUACCUAUUGAUCUUCGACAAUGGAUGCCAGCGAAUCUUUGUGGCAACUGGACAUUGCGAAGCUUCUUUCAAACCUGAAGGUUCAUCAGGAAACAUCUGGUGAUCACAAUCUGGAUUCAACAUGAAGGUGCAUUGGUGAGUGCUGCAGAUGUUCAAACCCAUAGCACUUGUAGAUCUGAAUGAUAAAGGUCUAGAAACAUUGUAGACUACUUUAUAUGACUAAAACAAGGAUAUUUCAUAAUACAUUUGUGUCCCGCCUUGCUCAUGGUGUUGGUAGCCAGGUUGCUUCUCUCGAGAGAAAUACAUGCUUGGGCUAAGGAAGUUCUGUGCCUUCAACGUUGAUUGUGCUUGCACUUCCCAAGUGUAUCCGCAAGAUGUCAGAGAUCUUUGUAAAACCUUGGUCCAUCUUAGUCGUAAGUUUUUAGAAA